rnacentral:rRNA from 1 species
CCUACGGGAGGCAGCAGUCGAGAAUCAUUCACAAUGGAGGAAACCCUGAUGGUGCGACGCCGCGUGGGGGAAUGAAGGUCUUCGGAUUGUAAACCCCUGUCAUGUGGGAGCAAAUUAAAAAGAUAGUACCACAAGAGGAAGAGACGGCUAACUCUGUGCCAGCAGCCGCGGUAAUACAGAGGUCUCAAGCGUUGUUCGGAAUCACUGGGCGUAAAGCGUGCGUAGGCUGUUUCGUAAGUCGUGUGUGAAAGGCGGGGGCUCAACCCGCGGACGGCACAUGAUACUGCGAGACUAGAGUAAUGGAGGGGGAAACGGAAUUCUCGGUGUAGCAGUGAAAUGCGUAGAUAUCGAGAGGAACACUCGUGGCGAAGGCGGGUUCCUGGACAUUAACUGACGCUGAGGCACGAAGGCCAGGGGAGCGAAAGGGAUUAGAUACCCGUGUAGUC